GACGAACGCUGGCGGCGUGCUUAACACAUGCAAGUCGAACGGAAAGGCCCGGCUUUUGUGGGGUGCUCGAGUGGCGAACGGGUGUGUAACACGUGAGUAACCUGCCCUUGACUUUGGGAUAACUUCAGGAAACUGGGGCGAAUACAGGAUAGGAGCUCCUGCAGCAUGGUGGGGGUUGGAAAGUUUCGGCGGUUGGGGAUGGACUCGCGGCUUAUCAGCUUGUUGGUGGGGUAGGGGCGUCCCACGGCUUUGACGGGUAGCCGGCCUGAGAGGGUGGCCGGCCACCUUGGGCCUGCGGUACGGCCCAGACUGCAACGGGAGGCAGCAGUGGGGAGUAUUACACAAUGGGCGGACGCCUGAUGCAGCAACGCCGCGUGCGGGAUGACGGCCUUCGGGUUGUAAACCGCUUUCGCCUGUGACGAAGAGUGAGUGACGGUAAUGGGUCAAGAAGCACCGGCUAACUACGUG
rnacentral:rRNA from 1 species